rnacentral:rRNA from 1 species
AAGCGGCAAAAGCUCAAUUGAAAUCUGGCCCCUCCGGGGUCCGAGUGUAAUUUGUAGAGGAUGCUUCGGGUGCGGCCCCUGUCUAAGUGCCUGGAAUGGGCCAUCGGAGAGGGUGAGAAUCCCGUCUGGGAUGGGGUGUCCGUGCCCGUGUGAAGCUCCUUCGACGAGUCGAGUUGUUUGGGAAUGCAGCUCUAAAUGGGUGGUAAAUUUCAUCUAAAGCUAAAUACUGGCCGGAGACCGAUAGCGCACAAGUAGAGUGAUCGAAAGAUGAAAAGCACUUUGAAAAGAGAGUUAAACAGCACGUGAAAUUGUUGAAAGGGAAGCGCUUGCGACCAGACUCGCCCACGGGGUUCAGCCGGCUUUCGGGCCGGUGUACUUCCCCGGGGGCGGGCCAGCGUCGGUUUGGGCGGCCGGUCAAAGGCCCCCGGAAUGUAACGCCCCUCCGGGGCGUCUUAUAGCCGGGGGUGUCAUGCGGCCAGCCUGGACCGAGGAACGCGCUUCGGCACGGACGCUGGCAUAAUGGUCGCAAACGACCCGUCUUGAAACACGGACCAAGGAGUCUAACAUCUACGCGAGUGUUCGGGUGGCAAACCCGUGCGCGCAGUGAAAGCGAACGGAGGUGGGAGCCCCCCGGGGCGCACCAUCGACCGAUCCUGAUGUCUUCGGAUGGAUUUGAGUAGGAGCGUAGCUGUGGGGACCCGAAAGAUGGUGAACUAUGCCUGAAUAGGGCGAAGCCAGAGGAAACUCUGGUGGAGGCUCGCAGCGGUUCUGACGUGCAAAUCGAUCGUCAAAUUUGGGUAUAGGGGCGAAAGACUAAUCGAACCAUCUGGUAGCUGGUUCCUGCCGAAGUUUCCCUCAGGAUAGCAGUAACGCGAAAUCAGUUUUAUGAGGUAAAGCGAAUGAUUAGAGGCAUUGGGGUUGAAACAACCUUAACCUAUUCUCAAACUUUAAA